GUGGGUGUAGCUCAGUGGUAGAGCACAUGCUUAGCAUGCACAAGGUCCUGGGUUCAAUCCCUGGUACCUCCA
rnacentral:tRNA from 1 species